UUAAAGAGCUGACGGUGACAUUUUAAUGUAUGAUUGGCGUGGACCAUGGGAAUGAAUUCGAAGUCAUUUUAUGAUGCCACCACUUGGGAUAGUAAGCUGCAAAUAUAGACUUGUACUCAGCACUUAUUGCCUUUGAGAAGUAAGGGAUCCUUUUCGUGCCAACACCUACACACCUACUGUGACACAGAAUCUUGGUUUAUACAGUCUCUUUGGAGUAACCUGUCUGAAGCAUAUAGCAGUGGGACUGGAACUUGCUACGUGUGACUGUCAUCUGAGUACUGAAAUUUGAUGCCAAGCAUGAUCAUGAUUUGCCAGAAGAGCCUCUUUUGGGAGAUGACAAAGAAUAAACAGCAGAAUGAAAUUGAAGCAAUCAACUGAAUCAAGUCUCAGUUCAAGAAGAUGAUUUUAAAUAUAUCAUAUUUAAAUUUUGAUUUGAGAAACAGACAUAAAUCCACAAAUAUGAUUAUAUCAAUUGCUUUCAGUUUUUCAAGAGAAAUGGAUUUUGUUACAAAAUCUAAUAUGUUUAA